UACGUAGGGUGCGAGCGUUGUCCGGAAUUAUUGGGCGUAAAGAGCGUGUAGGCGGCCUGAUAGGUCGGUUGUGAAAACUGGAGGCUUAACCUUCAGACGUCGGCCGAAACCAUCUGGCUAGAGUCCGGAAGAGGAGAGUGGAAUUCCUGGUGUAGCGGUGAAAUGCGCAGAUAUCAGGAAGAACACCCGUGGCUAAGGCGGCUCUCUAGUACGGUACUGACGCUGAGACGCGAAAGCGUGGGGAGCGAACAGG
rnacentral:rRNA from 1 species